rnacentral:lncRNA from 1 species
CGAUGUGUUCCCCGUCUAACCUACGUUCUUCCGUAGGUGGGGUUCGCUUUUGUCGAUGUGUUCCCCGUCUAACCUACGUUCUUCCGUAGGUGGGGUUCACUUUUGAGUAUGUUCCUCGUCUAACACUACGUUUCCGUAGGUGAGGUUCACUCUUUGCCGAUGUGUUCCCCGUCUAACCUACGUUCUUCCGUAGGUGGGGUUCACUUUUGAGUAUGUCCCUCGUCUAACACUACGUUUC